UACGUAGGGGGCGAGCGUUGUCCGAAUUUACUGGGCGUAAAGCGCGCGUAGGCGGACUUUUAAGUUGGUGGUGAAAUGCCGAGGCUCAACCUCGGAACUGCCUCCAAAACUGGGAGUCUUGAGGUUUGGAGAGGGAAGUGGAAUUCCAGUUGUAGCGGUGAAAUGCGUAGAUAUCAGGAGGUACACCCAUGGCGAAGGCAGCUUCCUGGCCAUAUCCUGACGCUGAGGUGCGAAAGCUAGGAGAGCGAACGGG
rnacentral:rRNA from 1 species